UAGUCUUUUUCCUUUGUUAUGUGAAAAACAAUUGUGUUUUGACACCAAUACUCUGUUCUCUUCUAGAAUCUGGUUUGAAAACGGAAACAAUUGCUGGCAUCAUCAUUGGCGCAGCGUUGGCCUUUGUGUUGGUCAUUAUUGUGGUUGUCAUGAUGUACAAAAUAUUUUCCUCUCCAGCAAAGAAGGAAGAGACAAGUACGUACAAGCAGGAGAAGGAUCAAACCUGCAAAGAAAUCCCAGAGGAGGAGUUAUACGCAAAUGGGGAUUUCUACGAACAAGACAAUGUAUACGAAUGAUGAUAUCCAAAAAGUUUGGAUUUUUAAAUAACAAUUUUA